GGAAGGUUGGCAGAGAGGCCGAUUGCACCGGUUUGCUAAACCGGCGAACGGGAAAACCGUUCCGAGGGUUCGAUUCCCUCACCUUCCGCCA
rnacentral:tRNA from 1 species